rnacentral:lncRNA from 1 species
UAGGAAGCAGGUAUAUAUAUAUGUGUGCAGAUGAGUUAUAUGCCUGAGAUGAUGUAUUGCUAUAUAUUGUCCAGGUUUAUUAUGUGACAGAUUAUGUGAUUGCUGCUCUGACAGGUAGUGUGUUGUAUGUAUUGAGAUAAUCCUGACAGGUCACUAUAGGAAAAGUGAUCAUUUUGUGCAUGCAUCAUGCCAAAUUUUUCAAGAUUUAUUGAUGAUUGAUAGGUAGUAGGGUUCUACGCGGUGGCUGGUGGCCUUAUGCCUACCCGCACCCUAGGACCGUCGCGGCGGCCCGCCGGGAAUGGGGCGGGGGUCGUGACAAGAGGUGGUAUCAGAGCAAAGGUUAAGAAGAGUCCUGUCAGAGCAAUAGGAUGAGUCAGGAUUAAGUAUAGGAUUAUACUAUGGAGCAUAGGAUUUUUCUGUAUGUUAUUUUAUGAGUCAUUUACAACUCAGUAAAAUAUAUCAUGACUCAGUGUGUAACGACUAUCCUCUCUUUUUGACUUUUUUAGAGAGAUAUAAAG